UCUUCAGUUCUUCUUCUCUCCAUAGCACGAGCUAGUUCUUCUCUCUGUGGCUGCUACUUCUGCUUCUUCCGCCGCUGCCGCUGCCGAGCCGUUGCGUCUCUCUCUAUCAUUCCUUGCAUCACACGAAAUCCCUCUGCCACCGCUGUCGUCGCAUCUACUCCCAUGGUCGUAGAGCGCUCUCUGCCGCCGCUUUCAUCGCAUCUGCUCCCUCUGGCGCCUCUUCUAUCUAAUCUCAACUCGCUCUCUCAGUUCUUCUUGUAACCAUCUCAAAUUUCAGAGUCUGCCAUGUCCACCGGCACCGACUCCGCCAAGCACGCCUCACUCGACGAUAUCAACUCCAACUCCUUCGAUCCCGAUCACUACAUGAACCUCAUGGUUCACAAGUCCAAUUUGGAAGGGCUGCUUCAGCGCCAUGUCAAGCUGGCUACUGAAAUCAAGAAUCUUGACACUGACUUGCAAAUGCUGGUUUACGAGAACUAUAACAAGUUCAUCAGUGCUACUGAUACUAUAAAGAGGAUGAAAAGUAACAUUUUCGGGAUGGAGACAAACAUGGAGCAGCAUCUUGAGAAGAUAAUGUCUGUGCAGUCAAGGAGUGACAGCGUUAACACUUCUCUUUUUGACAAAAGGGAGCACAUAGAGAAGCUGCAUCCUACUUGCAAUCUUCUCCGUAAAGUUCAGUUCAUAUAUGAUCUGCCUGAUAGACUUAACAAGUGCAUCAAAUCGGAAGCUUAUGUAGAUGCAGUUAGGCUUUACACUGGAGCAAUGCCAAUUUUAAUGGCAUAUGGAGAUUCAUCUUUCCAGGAUUGCAAGCUAGCCUCUGAGAAAGCAAUGGCUACAAUAGUAAAAAACUUGCAUAGGAAGCAGAGAAAGCUAUUUUCAAAUUCUGAAUCAAUACAAAAGAGAGCUGAAGCUACAAUGCUCCUUAAGCAGUUGGAAUAUCCGGCUAAAGAAUGUAGCUUCAAGAAUUGGCUUCUUUGUACAGAGAAAUUCUUCGAAAAGAAUUUAAUUUAUCUAAAUCAACAUGUGUGUUUACAAUUCCAAUAGAGAUUCACUAAUUAACAAACAAGAACAUGGAGUGGUGGGUGUCAAUGCCAAAGGUGGAGUUGCAUGCUCAUCUCAAUGGAUCCAUUACAGACUCCACACUCCUAGAACUCACAAAGGCCUUAGGUGAAAAGGGUGAUGCUUCAAUUCUUCUUUAUGUCUCUGUAUCCUUAUUUAUCUUAAAUGUUCUCUCCUUUAUUAAUUAUUUAGUAGUUCUGUGAAGACAGUUUACCUCUCCAAAUUUAUGUGAAGACAGAAAGUUAUGAGAAGACAGCUUACCUCUCCAAAUUUUCUGGAUAUGAAUUGUAGCUGAACUAUAUAUAUAUAUAGUAACACCAUCCCAUCUACUUUACACUACCCAAUCCUCAUUCAUCUUUCUUCACUUCACUCAAACUCAUAUCAUAGCCACAACUAAUUACUUUUAGAAUGGCAAAAUCUUCCUUCUUACUUCCAUGCUUGAUUCUCUUAUUCCUCGUAGACUCUGAAACUGGUAUUCUCUUCUCUCUAUUUUUUAUUUUCUUCUUCAUUGUAUCUGUUAUAUAAUUUUUUCUUUCUUUCUUCUAUUCAUCCAUUUAUAUUGGUUAUUGUUCAGAGUAUGGGCAGCACCUCUUAGUCUAUGAGUUUCAUAGAAAUGGAUCACUGCAUGACUUCCUUAACCCGACUUUCUGAGUUGCCAUGAGCUUCAGAUAAUGUGUAUGUCAACUUGUCACAGGAUAAUCUUGAAAGAGCAAACGGACAGAUAUUUAACGUGGGAAACCCAGACAAUGAAGUAUCUAUGAAGGAACUAGUUGAGCUUAUGAUACAGGUUGCCACAAUUGCUUGGUUGGAAGCUGAUUCUGUGUGUGGCAGUCACUCUGUUGCAAUCCCUUUAGUACUUGUCUUGCCUUAUCUUUUCCGUCUAAACCAAUGUCUCCAUCAGUACAAAGAUACCGGGGAGAAAACUUGUCUUUUGAAUGGUAAGAGCUAUUUAUUGCCUUAAAUCGUGCUGUCUUUUUGUUUCCUAUUCAGAACUUUUUUUAGUUAUCAAUUGUUGGUCUAAAUUUUGCAGGUUUAAGAAAUUGAUGUAAUACAUUAUUCUUCUAUCUUGGGCUUGUAAUAUGUUAAGAAUAUUGGUUUUAAUGUUGGAGUCUUUGUAAACGAGUAAGGUGUUCUUCUCUUGUGUGUUCUGGAAUGAGAACGAAUUUUGAUUGUAGUUUUGGAAUUGAAUUUUGGAAUCCUACUCGAACUGAAAUCGCUCUUGAUUAUACUGGUUGAAAUUCAAAAUUGAAAGCUAAUUCUUCUUCUUCAGCCAAAUCUGUUGCUUCUUCAUUUUCUGCAUAAAUAGACAAAGAUGAAUGCUGAAUUAUUGCUCGAUCUGCCAGCUCUGUUGAUUUUGUUUGUUGUUGAGGUUAAAAUGUAAAAUUGAAAUCUGAUGAGUCUCCUCCUCCUUUGAUGUGAACUUCUUCUGUAAGUUUUGGAUUCCUUGCUGAUUUUGAAGCUUUUGCUGUUGUAGACUCUAAUUUUGCAAUUUUAUAUUCUGAAUCUGAAUUCUAAAAUUGGAGAUAUGUGAUUAUUGAAUUUUCUGCUGCUAGCUUUGCUGAAUUGUUGCUGAGUAGUGAAAAUUCUACAUUUGAUUUGGCCUGAAUCUAAUCAUGAACUAUUUCUUUACAAGGAAAUAUUGGAAGAUUAGGUGGUGAAGGAUCAGAUUAUAAACCUUUUGUGCAGCAUGUGGGAAUUCCAUCAAUUGAUAUAGCCUUUGGAGGAGAAUUUCUUGUGCUAAAAAAGGAAGCAUCAGUGAGAAUUUUCUUGUGCCAGAAUUUCUUGUAUAUCAAGAAUGCUGUUGUAUCAUCAAACUUAACUCCUUGAGGCACCAAUUUAAGAGAACAGUGGUUUUCUCUAGUUGAUGAUUUGCUGCAUUAGCUCCAACAAUGCGAACCUGGUUGCGACUCAACAAAAAACUGGCUGCAAUUUCCUCAGCUAGCUUGAAAACCAAAGGGAAGAACUUGUAUAUGCAAUGCUGAUGUGGAGUUUAACUUGAAGUCGCCACACAACCACAAGGAGAUCCAGGAGGUGUAUUUGUCAAUGGCUCUGAGCAAGUCACCAUCAUACAAUCUAAAAGGAAUAGGAUCAAUAUAAAAUCUUGUUUGUUUAAAUUGUUGAAAAUGAAGGAACUAGUAGUGUCAAUGAGUAAUGUAAAUAGUUAUAGUUCUGUCAAUUGUUUAUUUUUUUGGGUAUCUUUUUAUUCAGAUAGUGAGAUAUUGGCCAAUGAUGUUGAAAAAUAACAUCCAAUUUUAUAGGUAUCAUGUAAUGAAUAUUAUGCUUAUCUAUAUGA